UACCAGCCCUCCGAGUGGUAGGGAUGUUUAUUGGGCUUAAAGCGUCCGUAGCCGGCUUAGCAAGUCUCCUGUUAAAUUCAGCGACCUAAUCGUUGAGCCGCGGGAGAUACUACUAGGCUAGGAGGCGGGAGAGGUCAACGGUACUUCCGGGGUAGGGGUGAAAUCCUAUAAUCCCGGGAGGACCACCAGUGGCGAAGGCUGUUGACUAGAACGCGCUCGACGGUGAGGGACGAAAGCUGGGGGAGCGAACCGGAUUAGAUACCCGGGUAGUCCCAGCUGUAAACGAUGCGAGCUAGGUGUUGGGGUGGCUACGUGCCACUUCAGUGCCGCAGGGAAGCCAUUAAGCUCGCCGCCUGGGGAGUACGGCCGCAAGGCUGAAACUUAAAGGAAUUGGCGGGGGAGCACCACAAGGCGUGAAGCUUGCGGUUC
rnacentral:rRNA from 1 species